UGGAUAUCAGUCCUAACAACAUUUCUUCUUUUCUUACAUUUUUGGACAGCAAAUGUCUAUGCCUCUGGAAAUUCAGAGGAGGAAAUAGAUUUCACGUAUGUUAUCAUAGGAGUUACUCUGGGAGCCUUUCUAGCAAUUGCUUUUGUAGCAGUAAUAAUCUGUAUGAUCAGAAAACAAAUGCUUGACAAUGUCUUUGGAGAGUCAGAUGGCAAAAUGGAUAGAAGGUAAGACUCCUUGCUCCUGGUGUUUUCUGAGGUGUAGUGGAACAUACAAACUGCAAUGUUUAAUUGCUCUCUCUCUUUAUGCAUAAUGCUUACCCACAACUGUGAUUUCCAUGGUAUAUAACAUAUAUGCAAGAUUCUGGAGAACCAUGAUACCUAGUGUAGCUACUGGAGCUGCAUGGAAAAAGCAAGUUCCAUAUAACAGAGGAUUUUGACAUUUCAGAAUUAGGAAAGAAAUCUCAGCAGGCUGAGAUUCUUUAUAAAAAGAAAAUCCCUUGAACACUUUUGAUUUUGAUGUUUUAGUUUGUGCUACAUAUUAUAAUAGCAAGCUCACAAAAAAAAGCAUUUUUGAGGGCUGCAAGCCAAAGGCCUUGUUUCAAAGGUGCUGAAGCUGGACCUUCUUUGAUAUUGCUAGAACUUUUCAACAUUUUCUCUGAAACAAAGUUUUGACCAUAUUGACACAUUUGACUAUAUUGACACUUUAGAUUUCAACAAAAAUGUGUAAUUCAGAUCAAAUGGCUUCACCAAAAUUUUCCCAAACACUGUGACUAGAUCUCAGUUCUGGGAACUGCCUUUAAGUGACCUUAUAGAACAAGGCCAUGCAGCGGUCAUUCCUGCUGGAAGGGAUGCAUUUUCGCCCUUCACCUUCCUCCCUCCUACCCAGGCAUGGUGAGAUCCCCCUCCACAGGCACAAGAGGCAGUGCUAGACUGCCUAGACAAUUCUGCUCCUCAUCUCCUCUGAGGAGCAGGCAGUAGGGUGGAGAUGUACAGAGGGGUCUGCAAGUUGUCCUUUGGAUCAUGGUAAUUCACAUGUAUAGAUACGUUCUGCUUCCCUGUAAGAUAUUUUAUAAAUGAGUAAAAAAGUAAGGAAUUAAUCAGCAUUCUCAUGAACUGAAGGCAACAGCUGUACUCAAUGACCUGAAAAAAGGCUCUUGGCCUCUCUGGGGGAGGUGGAUAGAAGCACUAAUAGGCUUGUUCCCAUCAGGG
rnacentral:lncRNA from 1 species